GUGCCUGUUGCACAAUAGAUAGUGCAUUGGACUUCCGAUCCAAAGGUCAUGGGUUCGAAUCCCACCUAGAAUG